CUACAGCGAUCCUUUCUACAUGCGUCUCCCUUCUGCAGGCUUCUUAAAAAAUGAGAAGAUAGAAGAAGGGUUUUCAAGACUUGACUGGAUGAAACCCCAAGGAACCUGA
rnacentral:lncRNA from 1 species